rnacentral:rRNA from 1 species
AUUGAACGCUGGCGGAAUGCUUUACACAUGCAAGUCGAACGGCAGCACGGGGGCAACCCUGGUGGCGAGUGGCGAACGGGUGAGUAAUACAUCGGAACGUGCCCAGUCGUGGGGGAUAACGGAGCGAAAGUUACGCUAAUACCGCAUAAGAUCUACGGAUGAAAGCGGGGGACCGUAAGGCCUCGCGCGAUUGGAACGGCCGAUGUCAGAUGAGGUAGUUGGUGAGGUAAAGGCUCACCAAGCCGACGAUCCGCAGCUGGUCUGAGAGGACGACCAGCCACACUGGGACUGAGACACGGCCCAGACUCCUACGGGAGGCAGCAGUGGGGAAUUUUGGACAAUGGGCGCAAGCCUGAUCCAGCCAUUCCGCGUGCAGGACGAAGGCCUUCGGGUUGUAAACUGCUUUUGUACGGAACGAAAAGGCUCUGGUUAAUACCUGGGGCUCAUGACGGUACCGUAAGAAUAAGCACCGGCUAACUACGUGCCAGCCGCCGCCGUAA